rnacentral:rRNA from 1 species
AACGAACGCUGGCGGCAGGCUUAACACAUGCAAGUCGAGCGCCCCGCAAGGGGAGCGGCAGACGGGUGAGUAACGCGUGGGAAUCUACCCAUCUCUACGGAAUAACGCAUGGAAACGUGUGCUAAUACCGUAUACGUCCUUCGGGAGAAAGAUUUAUCGGAGAUGGAUGAGCCCGCGUUGGAUUAGCUAGUUGGUGGGGUAAAGGCCUACCAAGGCGACGAUCCAUAGCUGGUCUGAGAGGAUGAUCAGCCACACUGGGACUGAGACACGGCCCAGACUCCUACGGGAGGCAGCAGUGGGGAAUAUUGGACAAUGGGCGCAAGCCUGAUCCAGCCAUGCCGCGUGAGUGAUGAAGGCCCUAGGGUUGUAAAGCUCUUUCACCGGUGAAGAUAAUGACGGUGACCGGAGAAGAAGCCCCGGCUAACUUCGUGCCGGCAGCCGCCGUAAUAC